CUUCAAACUCUCCCUGCAACUUCGUUCCCAGUUAAGCAACCCCCCAUCUCCCUGUUUAAAUUCAGAAAAUGGAGAAAGCAGAAGAAGCUGAACGUUUGCUUGGGGUCGCUGAAAAGCUCUUGUCCGAUCGGGAUCUCAGCGGCUCGAGAGAAUUUGCCAUUUUGGCCCAAGAAACCGAACCCCUUCUAGAGGGUUCCGAUCAAAUCCUGGCCGUCAUUGACGUCCUUCUCGCCGCUGAUAACCGAUUAAACAAUCACCUUGACUGGUACUCUAUUCUUCAAGUUGAUCGCCGAUCGGACGACACAGAUCUCAUCAAGAAGCAAUAUCGGAGGCUCGCACUUCUCCUCCACCCUGACAAGAACAGGUUCUCACACGCUGAUCAUGCAUUCAAGCUCGUCGCCGAGGCAUGGGCUACUCUAUCGGAUCCUGCCAAAAAGUCGCUCUACGACAAGGAGCUUGGUUCCUUCUCUCCGGUUGAUUUGAGCGGGCCCGGCUGGGCUCAUCAAGAAAAAUUGCCGGUCCGAAGAGCCGGAGCGGGGUUCGCUGGUGGUGGGAACCAGGGGUUUGAUUUCAGGAAUAAUGGCACCGCCACUAGGGACGCUGGAGCCGAUGAAAAUUCACGACGGAAUCCGUCGACCUUCUGGACGGCCUGCCCUUACUGUUAUUUGCUGUGCGAGUAUCCUAAGAUUUACGAGGGAUGUUGUCUAAGGUGCCAGAACUGCGAGAGAUCGUUCCAUGGGGUUUCGAUCCCGACAUUGCCGCCUCUUGUGGCAGGCCAGGAGGCCUAUUAUUGUUGCUGGGGAUUCUUUCCAUUAACUUUAGCCACUGCUAAUUCCGUCGGCAAAGAAGCUGCGACCCCUUCAGGAUUUCCAAAUUGGACGCCCCCCGUAUCUCAAUAUGGCCGGCAGUCAGAGAAUGGUUGGAAUAAAGCAGAACCCGUGGCGGCCGCAAAGCCUGUGGCAAAGACGGCGAAGGCCGGAGGUAUUUCUAAUGGGAUCCGUUCAGGCUCGGGAUCUAGUGGGCGGAAGCGAGGAAGACCGAGGAAGGCCCCAGGAGAAUCCUUUAUUGUUAUAAACUAAAUUUGAGGUUACGCUUUGCUCAGAUCAGUUGAAAAGCACUUGGGUUCCUAACUGCUGUAGAGCUAGAGCAAUUUGUUGUUGAGAAUGCCUUGAUUGUAGAGUAUGAAGAUUUGAUGGAAGGAAAUUUGUUAAUUUGGCGGUUGAUGUGGCGGGAACGGGCGUGCCUGUGCUUUCUUCGGAAGACCAAAGAAAGCUGAAGAUGCUUGGCUGGAAAACGUGUAGGACCAUAUCCUGUUUAAAGAGUAUCAAAUUCCACUCGAUCCAGGGGCUAUUGGUAUUUCAUUUCAAUUCUAUUAUCUUGAGGGAUUACAAUAAUAUCAUUCUUACAGUCUUUUAGUUAUCAAAUAAUAGGAAAGAAACAGCAUGUUUCGCAUUUGCCUCAUCCAAAGAUACUGUGUAUAAAAAGGUUUUAGUUCAACUUUCUUUAGUUUGUAGUCUUAAGUGGGGGAUAUAGGAGGUAAUGUCAAUACCAUGCUAUCUGAGUCUUAAGUUUGAAAAUAUGUAUGAGGAUUAAGAUUGUUCCUAAAAGCUUGAAGGAUCGAAUUGUCUCAGGUGGAUUUGGAUGAGAAAACUCUUAAAA